GUCUCGGCAAGAUUUGCUUCCCGUAUUGCAGAUGGAAAGCUGAAUUUUCCAGUGACUGCCCCAUGAAGUUGCCACUUCACAAGAUGUCUUGCAGGAGUCCAGUGUGCUAAUGUAUGUAAAGUCCUUGGAAAAGCACAAGAGUGAGGCAAGAACUGCCGUCAGUGCCCUCAUGACUCGGUUUGGUCUUUGCAUCCCAUCUUGGAGCCAGUCUUUGCAAUGCCAGAUAAUCUUUCCAGACUGGAUAGAUCAAGUCGAGAAUCCCUAAUCUACCAGACAUCAGUGCCAUGACCUCUUUCUAACCACUAUU